rnacentral:rRNA from 1 species
GGCGCACGGGUGAGUAACGCGUAUGCAACCUACCUUACACAGGGAGAUAGCCCGAAGAAAUUCGGAUUAAUAUCCCAUAGUAUUAUCGAAUAGCAUUUUUUGAUAAUUAAAGCUCCGGCGGUGUAAGAUGGGCAUGCGUCCCAUUAGCUAGAUGGUGAGGUAACGGCUCACCAUGGCAACGAUGGGUAGGGGGCCUGAGAGGGUGGUCCCCCACACUGGUACUGAGACACGGACCAGACUCC